GAGUUUGAUCGUGGCUCAGGAUGAACGCUGGCGGCGUGCUUAACACAUGCAAGUCGAACGAGGAAUUUUAAAUGAGACUUCGGUGGAUUUUAAAAUUCUUAGUGGCGGACGGGUGAGUAACGCGUGGGCAACCUGCCCUGUACAGGGGGGACAACAGCUGGAAACGGCUGCUAAUACCGCAUAAGACCACGGAGCCGCAUGGCUCAGUGGGAAAAACUCCGGUGGUACAGGAUGGGCCCGCGUUGGAUUAGGUAGUUGGUGAGGUAACGGCCCACCAAGCCGACGAUCCAUAGCCGACCUGAGAGGGUGACCGGCCACGUUGGGACUGAGACACGGCCCAAACUCCUACGGGAGGCAGCAGUGGGGAAUCUUCCGCAAUGGGCGAAAGCCUGACGGAGCAACGCCGCGUGAGUGAAGAAUUAUUUCGGUAUGUAAAGCUCUAUCAGCAGGGAAGAAAAUGACGGUACCUGACUAAGAAGCCCCGGCUAACUACGUGCCAGCAGCCGCGGUAAG
rnacentral:rRNA from 1 species